ensembl:lncRNA
GAAUUUUUUGUAAGAAGAAAAGUGUGUCUGUGCUCUUGAAGACAACUUCUGAAAGGAAAUAGAGGCUUGUUUUACCCCAUCCAGUUAUUCAGAGCCCACUGUGAUGGCUUAGUUCUCUUUUCUGUGAGAUGCUGAAUGUCUUCAGUGCCCAUAUCCUGAUAAGAAAAUAACUGUUCCAUCCUAUUGUAUACCACCAUGUUACCAAUUGAGAAAAAUCUAUGGACCAUUGCCUUCAGGAUUCUUAAAGCACAGUAGAUGGCUGGGAUUCAACUUGUGGUGCUACCACUGACGUUCUGUUGGCCUUUGACUUGCUGAACCUCCCAGGUACUACUGCAGUGUAGAGGGAAAUAAAUAAGGGGCAUCAUGCAUGCAUCAGGAUUCUUCUAGAUGUGGCUUGUAUCACUCAAAAAUAUUUUUCAAAAGAUGUGCAUUUUUUACCUUUCUCUUGAUCCUUGC